UUUGCCCUAACAAACAAUAAU
rnacentral:miRNA from 1 species